CUACGGGUGGCUCCAGUGGGGAAUAUUGGACAAUGGGGGCAACCCUGAUCCAGCAAUGCCGCGUGUGUGAAGAAGGCCUGCGGGUUGUAAAGCACUUUCAAUAGGGAGGAAAAGCUUUGGGUUAAUACCCCGAAGUCUUGACGUUACCUUUAGAAGAAGCACCGGCUAACUCUGUGCCAGCAGCCGCGGUAAUACAGAGGGUGCGAGCGUUAAUCGGAAUUACUGGGCGUAAAGCGCGCGUAGGCGGUUUGAUAAGUCAGAUGUGAAAGCCCCGGGCUUAACCUGGGAACUGCAUUUGAUACUGUCAAACUAGAGUAUGGUAGAGGGUAGUAGAAUUCCUGGUGUAGCGGUGAAAUGCGUAGAUAUCAGGAGGAAUACCAGUGGCGAAGGCGGCUACCUGGACCAAUACUGACGCUGAGGUGCGAAAGCGUGGGGAGCAAACAGGAUUAGAUACCCUUGUAGUC
rnacentral:rRNA from 1 species